CCGCCACGGUAAUACGAAGGGGGCUAGCGUUGUUCGGAAUUACUGGGCGUAAAGCGCACGUAGGCGGAUAUUUAAGUCAGGGGUGAAAUCCCGCAGCUCAACUGCGGAACUGCCUUUGAUACUGGGUAUCUUGAGUAUGGAAGAGGUUAGUGGAAUUGCGAGUGUAGAGGUGAAAUUCGUAGAUAUUCGCAGGAACACCAGUGGCGAAGGCGGCUAACUGGUCCAUAACUGACGCUGAGGUGCGAAAGCGUGGGGAGCAAACAGGAUUAGAUACCCCCGUAGUCCCUGUCUCUUAUACACA
rnacentral:rRNA from 1 species